GAUCCUUUUGCUCCAAAUAAUUUAUUUUCACAUCUGCUUUUUAAAUUGAAUCCUAGGUAAUCAGUUAGGAGAGGUUGUAAAGAUUCAAAAUCACAGCAGGAAGGUAAAAAUUGAGUAAAAGGGAUAAUGUUACUCAAUGGCAUAUGCUUACUGCAAGAUAGAAGAGUGUCAUGUGACUUUUUAAAUAGUUUACCUCAAUUAUUCAAACAAGAAUUUUUUUCACAGCUAGCUACAGCCUUCAGCAUUUGUAGAGAGAUGGGUAUUGGUAGAAUAUUUUACCCCCAAAACCACAAAACUGGACGCUGUGUGCUUGCCUUAAUAACUCUGGGAUAGAUGGAGUAGCACUGCCAGCUGAACCCUUAGAGAACUAAGCAGAGAGGCUGAAGAUUAUCUAGCCUGGCAGACUGAAUUUAGUUAUCUUUUUAAGUCACUUAUACAGACAACUGAGGACCAUACUAGUUUGGACUCCAUUUGCCACCGUGAUUGACCCAACAUCUUUCAUGAGAAUGCAGUCCAUUCACAAAUAUAUGUGAAUGUAUACUCUCAAGAUGUAAUCAAUGAGCUUACAAUAAAUAAUUGCAUAUUAAAUUGCACAAGAGGUCCACUAUAUGAUUAAUGGGAUACCUUUUACUUAGAAAGUGUACUUGUUUUUACCCUAUUAAUCUAUCAGUGCGAUAAUACUUAAAAUACAAAUAGUCAACAGUUCAAGUAACAAUAUUAAUAUAAGAUCCACAGUAAAGUAUGUCACAACAAGUACAUGACAAGAAAUAUGUAUGACUCAGGUCUACCUAUACCAAUGAAGUUGGUGAAUAUUUUCAGUGCAUGUGUAGUGAGUUGAUCUUGGCUAGAUGCCAGGUGCCCACCAGGCUGCUCUAUCACUCCCCUCUACAGCAGGACAGUGGAGAGAAAAUAAGAUGCAAAACAACUAGUAGUUGAGAUAAGGCAGUUUACAAAAGCAAAGAACAAAAAAAAAAAAGAAAAGCAAAAGUUUAUGCAUGCAUAAGCGAAAGGGAAAACAAUUAAUAUCUAUUUCCCAUCAGCAAGCAAUAUUCAGCCACUUCUCAGGAAGCAGGAUUUCAGUACACAUUUCUGGAAUGGUUACUCCAGAGAUCAAAAGUGGUAACAUAACAAAUGUUCCCCAUUCCUUCUCUCUCCCAUAGCUUUUGUAUCGGAGCUGAUGUCAUAUGGUAUGGAAUAUCCCUUUGGUUUAUUUGGGUCAGCUAUUUUGGCCUAGUUGUGUCCCCUAUCAGGAUCUUGCCCACUCCCUGUCCCUUGAUAGGAGCCAUGGGAGAGAAUGUUAGAGACAGUGCCGAUGCUGUGCCAGUGCUGCUCAGCAGUAGCAAAACCACUGGUGUGUUAUCAGUACCUUUCCAGCUACCAAUGCAAAGCACAGCACUGUGACGGCAGCUAAGGGAAAAUGAACUCUAUCUGAGCCAGACCCAAUACAGCAAGGGUGAAGUGUGGUGUCCUGAAAAGAUUCAAAUUAACAUCAGCAAUGGAUUAGUCAUGAAAUCGACAUGUUUAGACAUGAAGGGGCUUAACAACACAAAGCAGGAGCACAGAUAGAAUGUGACUGACUUUACUGCUCUGAAAAGCAGAUUUGUUUCCAAGCCCAGGGAAUGCUGACACAGUUUAAUGGGAAAUUAAAAAAAAAUAAAUAUUAAAAAAGAGCCUCCUUUAAGCCUAGCACUGUAUAUUGCUUGGCAAAGAGGAGUUACAGUCUGAUUGACAUCUCUAAUGGCACAGCAGCCUAAUUUACCAUCCCUGUAUUGAUGAAAUUGAAGCCCAGACAGAAGAAUGCUGCUGCUUCCUUUAAAAAUGGCAUAUUCACAGCCUGCCAAUUCAGCAUUUUCUUUUUUCUUUUCCACCCAGGACCAAUAUGAGCAAUUAAAAGUAAUUUUUCACUUGAUCAUUUAAGUAAAUAGGAGGAUUUUUUUAAUGUUCGUAGCAAGGAGUUGUAAGGACCUGAUAGUAAAAAUAAUGCCUCAAAAAGUGCUUCACCAUUAUCAUUAUCUCUUUGAACACCUGAAUACUAUGAGCAGCCCACCUUGAAAUCCAUAAAAAGGAAGGCAAAACCUGUGCAAAACUAGGGAGGAGGAAGAGAAUGACAGAAACUCCGGUCUAUGCCUUCCUGCCCCUCCCUCCACUGCUACUGUCCAAGGUUUUUCACAGCUGGAGAAAGAACCUAAAGCCUCCAAAAGCUGAGACUCCACGAAGCCUUGGAUGCCUCCAGCCUGGGGAAAACAGUAACCUACUGUGACACACACAUGACUCGUGGAAACCCUCCUCUGCUCCUGCAUCCUCUGGUGUGAGCAACAAGAGUGGACCAAAGUCAGCUGCAGGGACCACAUGCUGAAUCUACUUUUCAGAAGGUGCUGUUGCCUUAGCUGCAGUUGAACACAAUGAGCACCAACAAAAAGCUGAUAUGGAAAUUAUUGCAUCGUUACAAGAUUUGGUUAAAGUGUCACAACUGCAACUAGAAGAAGUUGAGGCUAACACCUGUCUCCUCCACAAAGAGAUAAGAAAUCAGAAAGCUACGUGUUACCAUGUGUACUCAUGUACUUCAAGAGGAGCUGCAUGUGAGAUUAGCAAGUGGAACAAAAAAGGGAGAUAGAGCUGGAGCUAUCCAAAUAAACAUAUCCCCUCUCUGACUUAGAAUCUUUGCAUAAUCAGUCAGAGAAACUGCCAGUCUCACUUUGUCCCUUAAAUAAAAUAUAACACAUGGGUUCGGAUGAUGACACACUUUACAUAACUGUGGAGGCCUGUGAGCCUAUUGGGAAAAGGGCAGUGGCAAUGCCCUGGAGGGAUGCACCUUAGGCUCCGGACAUCCCCCAUAUGUUAGGGUGAAACAGAAGGCUACCCCCAUGGUGCACUGCAGCACUAUGUUAAUUUACCCCAGUUCUGUAUUUCCCAUUGGCCUGUUGGCUGUCCCUACUUCUUUUACCCCUAUAUAGUCUUGUUCUAGAAUAUUCCCCACUCCAUGUUUCCCCAUUGGUUAAUGUAACCCUGCCUGUCUACCCUGGUACUCCCUAUUGGCUCCUGCCCUUUGUACCUCACCUAUUCCCUCAGCUGAUUGGCCCUGAUGCUUUGCUCCACCUCCUCUUUCACAUAUUUAUACCCUGGACCCUCCACUGUCCGUUGUAUUCUGUCCCUAGACCCCUUCUGUGCUGGAUCUUAAUAAACCUUCGCUGGAACCACAUGUAGAAGAUCCUCCUGUGUCUCACCAGCCUGCUUGCUGUGGUGUGCUUGACUGCUUGAGUGCGUUAUUGUUGUGUGCCUGACCAAAUGUUCUCCCUCCGAGGACGCUUGCGGGGAAGAUAGCAGCGGUGACCACCUUGCCUUGCCACUACACAUAAUCAUGAUAGAAAUCCCAUAUACGGCUACUGAAUUGGUUAAAUUAGAAAAGGAAUAAAGAAACACCUAAAGGCCCUGA